rnacentral:tRNA from 1 species
GAGGGUAUGGCUCAGUGGUAGACCACAUGCCUGGCAUGUAUAAGGUCCUGGGUUCAAUCCCCAGUGUCUCCA